rnacentral:misc_RNA from 1 species
GAGHUUUGAAACGGGHUGHAGCUGGCCUUCCGAGGCAUGAGCACGCCCUGCUCAUCCACUCUACACCUGUGCACUUACUGUAGGHUUCAGGAGCUUCACGGGCUUUCAUUAGUCCGGGHUGUAACUGGGCUUACGHUUACUACAAACUCUUAUAAAGUAUCAGAAUGHGHAUUGCGAUGHAACGCAUCUAUAU